UCAGUGGUUACGGUUAUCAAACGGUCCAUAUAAAUGAGCGGACAUCUUGUUAACAGUAGCAGCAAAAUGAAGUGGCUUGUGUUGUUGUGUGCUGUUCUUGCAUUGCUGAUCCCAGCUUUGGGAGACCAGCCAGCAGGAUUCGUUGACUACACCGGGAGGUAUGCUGAACUGGCUUCACCUGUACCUUCAAACGUGAAUGUAGACGAUCUGGUAGCGAGUCUCCGGGCCGCCAGCAACCAUGCCUGAUAACUGACCGACUUUAUCCCACUAAAUAUUUGAUUUGGAUCAAAAACUAUGUAUGCUUUGUAGGUUAAAUUGUCUAUUUAUUAAAGUGUGAAGCGUGCUUUUGUCAUA